rnacentral:sRNA from 1 species
UAGCUUAAAUAAGAAUUGUGGUGAGCAA